GGAUAUUUACAAAUCUUGAAAUGUCCUGUAAUUUCUUUUCUUCUCCUUUUUUUUUUUUCAUGUAUUUGUAUUUUUAUUUUUAUUUUAAUUGUAGAUAGAAAAUAUGUGGGUAUCUAAUUGCUAGGAAUCAGGAUUUGUGUAGGAUUGAGAUUUUUUGAGUUUGAGUAUUUUAGGAUUGUAUUUAGUUAGAUUAGGAAUAGAAAUAAAAUUUUAUGUGAUUUGAAAUUAGUUUUAGCAAGAAAUUCUAAAUAGAUUAGGACUAUUUUUUAGGAAGAUUUUUCCUUUUUAUUUUUUUUAUUUUCUUUUCUUUUCUUUUCCUCUUUUUUUUCUCCUUUUUUUUUACACGUCUUUUUUCUAACUUUUUUUUCACGUUUUGUUUUAUUAAUUUUAUAUUUUACUUUUCAUUCUGUUUCUCUCUUCGUAUUUUUUUUUCAAUUUUUUUUUAUUUACAUUUUUGUUCUGUUUCUUUCUACCGUUCUCUUUAUUUAUUUAUUUUAUUCUUUUUUUUUUAACUUCUGUUUAUGUUCUUCUUACCUUUUUAUUUUAGUUUUUUGGUUGUGUUUUAGCUUUCCUUUGUUUUCUUUUGUUUCAAUAUUUUUUUUCUACUCACGUUGUUCUUUUCUUUUCUUUUUUUUUAAAAAAGUUUUUUUUUUCUUCUUCUUAUGCUUUGUCGUUUUAUUUUAAAAUCAAUCUUCCUCAUUUUUUCUUUUUACCAUAAAUUCCUAAAUAAUAGUCAUACCUCUUAAUCAUAUAUCUUAACAAUCCGAAUUAAAACGAUUAUCAUCUUAACGCUUAUUCUAAAGGCAAAUUAUUUUUAAUAUAUUAAAAAAACUAAAACAUAUUCCAUAUAACUUUUCUGAAUCACUAAUCAAUUAAAGUUUAAUUUAUAUCGUAAUCUAACAAGUCUACAAAUAAUUUCAACAAAAAAUUUCUUAAGUGAAAACUAAGCUCCAAGAAACAUUAACUAUUCAAAACUAAAUAUCACGAAACCAAUUUAAAUAUAAAUUCCA
rnacentral:lncRNA from 1 species